rnacentral:lncRNA from 1 species
CCAGUCACUGCUUUUAAUAAACUCUUUGGCUACAAAGAUGAAACAGGCAGACAACAGCAACAAAGAAGAUAUUAUUAACAUAAUUUCAUGUAAUUGGAUAGAAGGGUAAUAUUUAUUUUAAUAUUACAGAGGAAAUAUCCCACAAUGCAGACCCUGGAUUAAUUCUUUAUAUCUUUAGACUGCACUUAUCAAAUAAAAUUGUACUUAUGGAAAAAGCAAACACAUAAAUCUUGCCUCAUUGUUGGCGGGCAACCCUAGCAAGGGCUAAUUGUAUUAUAUAUCUUCUGCAGCUCUGCCUAGUGUUUGCCAGGAGGAAAAAGAAAGACCCCCAAUGAGUGUGACCUACAAGAGUCUUCCAUGAAGAUCAACAUCUAAGUUUCCCUUGAGAGACACCAAAUCAAAUCUCAAGGAGUGGCCUCCGGAACACCAUUAGGAUGAAGCUUCAUCAAGAGAGUCACAAUUCUCAAAAGCAUAAGAGGCAAUCGACUGCAUCUAACGAGAUACAACCAGGAUAUGGACGUCUUCUCAGUAUUUCACUUCUUGUCGUCAAUCCAGUGGAAACUCCAAAAUACCACUGAAUGAACGAUUCUCAAGUCAACACUGAAGAACGCAUCAAGAUUUCCAUUAAAAAAAAACAGAAAACCCAGCAUGUACCCAGGCUUUUAUUCAUUUGUAUACCUAUAAGAAGCAGCUGCAACUUUACAUACAAGUGAUUUCUUUUUACAUAAAAUGUUUUUUGCCAUUUUUAGUCACUGAAGCAUUAAAAAAAAUAAAUACAGUGGAAGCAUUUGAAAGGGCUUGCUUUAAAAAAUAAUUUCGUUGGUUUACUGAAUGACUAGUUCUUGGUUUUUUGAAAAGUUUGUCGUACAUCCUGUUCCCAAUUCAAUUUGCUUUUACCCUCAUAGACCUCUGUGCUUUUAAUUGCUACUCUGAUUUUUGAGGCAAAGAUUUCUUUCUCCUGAAGAUGUUCUGCUGCCUGAGAUAAAUGAUAUUCGGGGAUUUUGAAAGUACUUUUAAG